rnacentral:lncRNA from 1 species
CUAAACAAGGCUGAUAUAAUUAAAUUGCUACUUCUUAAGAUUUUCCUCUCUCCUUUAAAAAUGAAAGACCUGUAAAUAUAGACUGCCUAAAUGCUUCAUCAGUAAGAACUGGAGUCAUCUUACACAACUUCUUCAAGUAACAAUUAUGUGGAAAAAGUGUGCUAAUUUCAGUAAAAAGACAUCCUGCUGUUGUAAACUAGAAGGAAAGACGUUCCAGUGUUAAUCUCCAAGUGUAGCACCGUUAAGCGGCAGGUAUGAGAAAUGUUCUCCUGUUUUCUGGAAACAUUGGUCUGUUCUCAUUUGCUUGUGCUAUGACAGUCCUCUGAUAAAGCAAGGUCAGGAAGAAAGGCAGAUCUAUUAACACUUCGCUCAACCAAGGCAGACCUUAGUACAAUGGACAGCCUUAUAGAAGUCUUCUAAGUCAUUAAUGAAAAUGUCAACUGACAUUCCCAAGGAGCCCACUACAAAGGCUGACUGGUUUAUUACAACCUUGGCCCUACUGAAGGCCUGGCGCAGACAGCAAGUCUCCUUCUGAAACUAUGUAAGAGUAUAACACAACAGAAAAAAAAAGACUAAACGCUACCUACGCUCAAUGUUCCACACCUCUUAAGCCAGUAAUCCUGUAUCUGGUGUCGGGCAGCAAAGAAAAUAAAAUAUACCUCGUCUGUGCUCCAUUUGGAAACUUUACUGGCAGGGAUUCCUGCGACAGUUGGAAGAAGUUUGCUUUGCUGCUCCCAGCGCAAGGGCAGACAUGGAAUUGGGGACUUAA